rnacentral:rRNA from 1 species
AUUGAACGCUGGCGGCAUGCCUUACACAUGCAAGUCGAACGGUAACAGGUCUUCGGAUGCUGACGAGUGGCGAACGGGUGAGUAAUACAUCGGAACGUGCCCGAUCGUGGGGGAUAACGGAGCGAAAGCUUUGCUAAUACCGCAUACGAUCUACGGAUGAAAGCAGGGGACCGCAAGGCCUUGCGCGGACGGAGCGGCCGAUGGCAGAUUAGGUAGUUGGGGGGAUAAAAGCUUACCAAGCCGACGAUCUGUAGCUGGUCUGAGAGGACGACCAGACAAACUGGGACUGGGACGAGGCCCAGACUCCUACGGGAGGCAGCAGUGGGGAAUUGUGGACAAUGGGCGCAAGCCUGAUCCAGCAAGGCCGCGUACAGGAAGAAGGCCUUCGGGUUGUAAACUGCUUUUGUACGGAACGAAACGGCUCUCUCUAAUACAGAGGGCUAAUGACGGUACCGUAAGAAUAAGCACCGGCUAACUACGUGCCAGCCGCCGCCGUAAAAC